rnacentral:rRNA from 1 species
ACGCUCGACACCUACGGGAGGCAGCAGUGGGGGAUAUUGCGCAAUGGGGGAAACCCUGACGCAGCAACGCCGCGUGAAGGACGAAGGUUUUCGGAUUGUAAACUUCUUUUGUUAGGGACGAAGAAAUGACGGUACCUGACGAAUAAGCUCCGGCUAACUACGUGUCAGCAGCCGCGUAAUCUGAGCGGGCUGGCAAGGC